ACUUACCCUGAUGCUCUGUGUGAGCACUGAGGCUGUUUUCCCAGGCUGAGCAGUAAUAUGCAGCAUUGUCCUUGGUCUGGAGGCCAGAGAUGGUCAGAGAUGCCACAUUCUUAACCAGGAGCCAGGAAAUCUCUCUGAGAUUCCUGAGAGUUGGCUGUUUUUCCUGUUGAUCAGGUGUUUGGGGGCAUGGCCCUGGUGCUGCUGUAGCCAGACUGCUCCAUCUUUGCCAACAUCAUUGCUGCCCCCAGUGCAGUGCAGGAGGGGUGAACUUCUGUCCCACAGACUCUGACACGGAGGCUUCCUGGGUCAGCCCAGACUGUGCCCAGGACCCUGCAUCAGAGGAAGGAGGCACAGAGAGGCCAAAUGAGCAGAGGGUGAGAAGCUGAGGAGGAGAGGCGUCCAGGCCAUGGUGGAGAUGCCCCAGGCUCUGCUUCCUAAGCCCACAGCUGAGCAGAACUGCACAGAGUCUCUCUUAUCGUCUACUCCCAAGAGUACAGAGAGCACCCUUCAUGCAACUCAUACCCCACCCCCUGAUGUCCCUGGGCCUGAACUUGGGGAAGGCUGAGUGUGGGGUGGGGCUAGGGGAGCCUCUUCUGGCCCUGGGAGGUUCCAGCUGCUGGGGACGAGGAAGAACAGAGCAGAGGGCCUAGAGCAGAGGUCCAGGGCCUGGUUUCCCAGUUGAGACACCCACAGACCCUCAGGGACAGGCCACAGUUUCCUCCACUCAGAGCCCAGGUUUGUUCCUGACUGGCUUGAAGGUCCUGGAACAAUGCUAGCUCUCAUCACUGCCUUGCACACACCAUCCCGUCAUAGAGGCAGGGCUGAUGCCCCUCCAUCCCCACCCCAGGCUCUUUGUGCUACAUGGUGCUCACCUUUGCAGCACAUUUCUUGCUGCAAAGAUGUGGUCUCCUUGGCAUGAGGUCAUCCUCUGCUUUUUCCCCAUUUAGAUUUUGUUGUGGUUGGGGCCACAAGUGAGUGACCCUCAGAGAUAACAUGUCCUGUGCCCAGUGGCCAGAAGAGAAUGAAAGCAAACCUCCCCAGCCUCCAUAUCAGCCUGAGGGCACCUGCUGCUCUCUCUCAUCACACUCCACAUCCCCCACAGCAGGCCAGGCUCUGUGACCCUCAACACUUGUCCCCAUAAUAGCCAUGAUGGGGUGAGAUUUUUAAUAGAAAUGCACAGGAAAAUUAUUUUUAAAAAGAGGCCAUCAUUAUUAAAGAAGGAAAGGUGUGCUUCUUUUGUGGACAUGAGGAAGAUGACCAAGGACACCACUCUUCCCAGAGGCAGACAGGAGCCACAGCCCAGAGAGGAGCCACCAGGGUGACCAGGUUCCUGCACCAGACUCCCACAGAAUUUUUUAUUGUGUGCGAUCCAAGAACCCUCUCCUGGGAUCUGGGUGAGGACCCCUUUCCAGUAACACCUGCAGGGAGCACAUCCUGGCCCCUUCCCUGCUCCACUGACUGGAGGCACAGGCCAGGGU